UGGGCCCUGAGACCCUCCCUCAGAGCUGCAGCGCCCGCCGCUGACCCCAGAGCUUACCUGUGCACCCGUGGCUAUGGCCUUCGAGGACGUGGCCACGUACUUGACCCCUGCGAGUGGGGCGGCUGGGCCGGGAGAACUGCAGGAACGUGACCUGUCCCGAUGCCAUCGGUCUCGGACCCGAGAGUCAUUCCUUUGAAGUGCAUUCACCAGGAAUGACAGGUCUUCUGUCUUCCUGCUCCGUGGGAUAGACUACUGACUUCUGUAUCUCAUAGCUAGCAGACAGACACACCAGGCCUAAUCACAUCUACACUGACUGGCUUUUUGUGAUUUUUCACUUCUCUGAUUCUACUGAACCCGGUUCUCUCAUUCCCUCAUUCUCCCUUUUCCCAAACGCCCAAAUUGGAUGGCGCUCAGCUCUUCCCCCUGCUAUCAGUAGUUAUCGAGUAAAAUCUUUCCGUCGCUUUAA